GGCUCUGAGGAAGUGCUGGAGGAGUGGCUGUGGCCCUGGCUGCUGCUGAUGUGAGCAGAGGUUUCUGAGAGUGCUGGCGGAGGAGGAGCUGAGCUAGAGCUGAAAGAGGUGGAGCUGUCGCCAGAGGACCUUGGCUAGGCUGUGGGGAAGAGCUCGCUCGCCAAGGAGCAGGAGUUGCAGCAGGCCAGAGGGGUAGGCAGCGCCUCACUGAGGAAGUAGGCUCUUGGAAGCCAGGCCUGUAAUUGCUCUGAAGGGCCUGUUCCUGCCACUGUGCCUCGCAGGCAAAGCCGGUCCUGGCUCUUUUCCUUUAGCCUUCAUUCGGUGCCUGGACUCAUACAGUCUCUUGUGACACACAGGAAGCUGGGAUGCCCGUGCAGCUGUGUGAAGACAGCAGAGGCUUAAUGUUCUGCUAAUUGAAGAGUUCAACAUGCAAAAAGUAGAAAGACCACUGUUCAGAAGCAAGGUAUGUUGUUGAUAAGCAGAGGAAUGAUCAAGGAGCAGUUUCCAUGGCGGAAAAUCCCAUGCAGUGCUUGAAGACUAUCAACUUAACCACUGCUGUUCAAGAAAACUCUCAAAGAUGAAAAAAUAUGCUCAUGACUGAGGAAAACCAUUACAUUAUUGGAUCAUUUCUCUGACUUCUGCUUUUGGGUGAAAAAAGAGCCAAGGAUACCCUGGACUGUAUAUUCCAGAAGCUGUACAGAAAGUUUUCAAGGAAAGAUUAUAUUGUGUCCUCAAGUUCUGUGUCCUGGAGCUUUUUCAGAAUGGAUUAUGCUAUGGGAUAACAGAACUAUUGUCAGCCUUGUAUUUCCAUCAAAGGGACUGCUUACAUCUUAGCUGUACUUCUCACCUACUGCAUGACCUUGGGCUAUUCUUUGUGCAUUAAUGUCUUCAUCGCUGAAACCAUCCUAACAACAUUGACUUCAUAAUGCAGUUAUGAAGAUCAGCUGGUAAAUUUCAUAGUAUAGCAUACCAGUGAGGGAUUGGUGCACUCAUUAUUUCAUCUUCGUAAUGCUCCUGGGCUCCCAGGAAUAUCAGGGUCUAAUUCCACAUUUCAUCCGAUUAUGCAUUAAUAUUCUUUUCAGUAUUCUUACAGGUGACUUGUUAGCUUCUUAAUGAAGAGCUCUUUCAUUCAUGAGAGAGCUUUCUCUUGUCCUUGUCUGCCAACCCCAUACCCCAGGCUUUGAGAGAUCUAAAACUUCUGAGCUCCUCUGGCAAAGUUCUGAGUUCCUGUGGCAAAGGAAUAAGUAUAAUGAAGACUUCAGAAGCCUGUAGCUAUGCUGGAGGUUUCACUUUGCCUAGCUUCUGAUCUAGAAAACUUGCAGCCUUCUUUUGAGAUGUCUAGUUAGCUAUGAGAAUGGGCUUGAUUUAAUCGAGCCCUCCAUAUAUAAUCACAGAGAAGUUCCAACAAGACACCGAGUGACAGUCCAUUCCCUCAGAGUUCCCUUUGGGUCUUUUAAAGGAUGAUUUGUCCACUUGAAAAGUCAGUCAUUUAUGAUUCUGGGUAAUAGGUGAAGCACCUAGUAACCUAUGCAGAUGCUCAACAGGAUGAAGACGAAGUACAUGAGAAGCAGGAAGGGCUGUUUAGCACUUUUCACGCUGGCUAAUGACUCUAUUGACCUUUAUAGUGCAAAAAUAGUCAUAUGAUUUUAGUAAGUUAUUUAGUCAUGUUAUUUGAGAUUGUAUGAUAUAUGUAGAUUUUUUCAAACUAGUUAUUUUCACCUUAGAUUACAAAGUAAUGUUUUUUUUUAAUAUUAGAUCUGCAGAAAAGUACCAUAAUACCCUCGCUUUCUGCAAACAGCUAUAACAAGUGAUCUCUAGAGGACUUUUCUGACUUUUAGAUCUUUAAUUCAUAGACUCUGCCUCAGACAGUUGGGAUUGCUACUAACAAAGUAACAUAAAUAGGGUGGCUUAUUAUCUUAGUUCGCUGUCUGUUUCUGUAACAGAAUAUGAUAUGCUGGGUAAUUACAAAGAAAUGAAAUGUAUUUGGGUCAUAAUUAUGGAGACACAGAUCUUAAGGGCAUAGCACUGGCAUCUGGUAUGCUGUGUCAUAACAUGGUGGAAGGUGAAAAAGCAAGAGCAAGUCAGCAAGACAGAGCAAAGUAAGCUUAAUGUACUUUUCUAACAACCCACUCUUGUGACAGUGAACCCAUUCCUGUGAGAAUGGUAAUAGAUAUAUUCACAUGGAUGGAGUUCUCAUGACCUAAACACUUCCCACUGGGCCCCUGCUUUCAAUACCUUUACACUGGGAAAUUGAGUUUUGAGCACAUGAUCUUUUUCCCAACACAUGCAAACAACAGCACUUACAAAUCAACAAAAAUUUAUUCCUUACAGUUCUGGCGCACAUGAUCUUUUUCCAACACAUGCAAACAACAGCACUUACAAAUCAACAAAAAUUUAUUCCUUACAGUUCUGGAGACGAAAAGGUCAAGGUACCAGAAUGGUUGGAUUCUGGUGAGGUGUUUUUUGAGGUUUACAGACUACUGUAUUCUUUUUGUGCCCUCACAUUGCACAAAGAGAGUAAGCAGUCUCUCUGGCCACCUCUUAGGAGGGUAUGAGUCCAGAAGCUCUACCUUUGUCAUCUAAUUAUUUCUCGAUGUUCCCUGCCUCCUAAUGCUAUCACAUUGGGAAUCAGGAUUUCAAUAUAUGAAUUUGGGGAGAACACAGAUACCAAAUCCGCAAUAGAUUUCUCCAUGUGAUGCUUUUAGAAUGGCUUUGACCCUUCCCCAGUCCACAUGGGAUGGGCUUUGUGUUCGGUCUAGAGAAGAGUGGUAGCCUGCAUCAUCUGUCACCUUCCUUUUGCUCUGGAUCUCUGGUGACUUGUAGAAUUCCUAUA